UACCAGCUCUCCGAGUGGUGUGGAUGUUUAUUGGGCCUAAAGCAUCCGUAGCUGGCUGGGCAAGUCCCCUGUUAAAUCCACCGAUUUAAUCGUUGGUGUGCGGGGGAUACUGUUCGGCUAGGGGACGGGAGAGGCCGACGGUAUUUUCGGGGUAGGGGUGAAAUCCUAUAAUCCCGGGAAGACCACCAGUGGCGAAGGCUGUCGGCUAGAACGCGCCCGACGGUGAGGGAUGAAAGCUGGGGGAGCGAACCGGAUUAGAUACCCGGGUAGUCCCAGCCGUAAACGAUGCAGGCUAGGUGUUUGGGCGGCCACGUGCCGCUCUAGUGCCGCAGAGAAGUCGUUAAGCCUGCCGCCUGGGGAGUACGGCCGCAAGGCUGAAACUUAAAGGAAUUGGCGGGGGAGCACCACAAGGGGUGAAGCUUGCGGUUU
rnacentral:rRNA from 1 species